rnacentral:rRNA from 1 species
AGAGUUUGAUCCUGGCUCAGGAUGAACGCUGGCGGCGUGUCUAAGGCAUGCAAGUCGAACGAAUAUUUUUAAUAUUAGUGGCAAACGGGUGAGUAACACAUUGGUAACCUACCUCAAAGUUGGGUAUAACCUUUCGAAAGGAGGGCUAAUCCCCUAUGUGUUCCAGUAACAUAAGUUAUUGGAAUAAAGCUUUUGCGCUUUGAGAGGGGCCUAUGGCUUAUCAGCUAGUUGGUAGGGUAAUGGCCUACCAAGGCUACGACGAGUAGCGGGUGUGAGAGCACGACCCGCCUCAGGGGCACUGAGAUACUGGCCUCACUCCUACGGGAGGCUGCAGUCAAGAAUAUUCCCCAAUGGACGAAAGUCUGAGGGAGCGACGCCGCGUGAUUGAAGAAGCCCUUCGGGGUGUAAAGAUCUUUUCUAAGGGAAGAACAAAUGACUGUACCUUAGGAAUAAGGGGCUGCUAACCUCGUGCCAGCAGCAGCGGUAAUACGAGGGCCCCAAGCGUUAUCCGGAAUUAUUGGGCGUAAAGCGUCUGUAGGCGGAUUUUUAAGUUAAACGUUAAAUCUUAGGGCUUAACCCUGAAACCGCGUUUAAUACUGGAAGUCUAGAGGGUGGGAGAGGCAAGUGGAAUUGCUGGUGUAGUAGUAAAAUGCGUUAAUAUCAGCAGGAACACCAUAUGCGAAGGCAUCUUGCUGGAACACUCCUGACGCUGAGAGACGAAAGCGUGGGUAGCGAAUGGGAUUAGAUACCCCAGUAGUCCACGCCGUAAACGAUGGAUACUAGACAUUGGAAGUAUCGACCCUUCCAGUGUCGUUUACCAAAGAUAACUCGUUAAGUAUCCCGCCCGGGGAGUACGGCCGCAAGGCUAAAACUCAAAGGAAUUGACGGGGACCCGCACAAGCGGUGGAACAUGUGGUUUAAUUCGACACUAAGCGUGGAACCUUACCUGGGCUCAACUACUAGCUGCAUACCCUAAGAAAUUAGGGAGCCUUCGAGGGUGCUAGAUAGGUGUUGCAUGGUUGUCGUCAGCUCGUGCUGUGAAGUGUACGGUUAAGUCCGGUAACGAGCGCAACCCCUACACUGUGUUAUUUUCUCACAGAGGACUGCCUACUAUAAGUAGGAGGAAGGUGGGGAUGACGUCAAAUCAGCAUGACUCUUACGUCCAGGGCUACACACGUGUUACAAUGGUCAGUACAAUGGGUUGCCAAACCGUAAGGUGGAGCUAAUCCCAUCAAAGCUGAUCUCAGUUCGGAUUGAGGUCUGAAAUUCGACCUCAUGAAGCUGGAAUCGCUAGUAAUCGCAGAUCAGCCACGCUGCGGUGAAUACGUUCUCGGGUCUUGUACACACCGCCCGUCACGUCAAGAGAGUCGGUAAUACCCGAACUUCGUCGAUUGGCGAGGGAAGGUAGGAUCGAUGAUAGGGACGAAGUCGUAACAAGGCA